rnacentral:sRNA from 1 species
ACUGGGCAUAGUGGUGCAUACCUGUAAUCCUAGGAACUUUGGAGGUUAAGGUAGGAGGAUUACAUGUUUGAGGCCAGCCUCAGCAACUUAGCAAGGCCCUAAGCAACUAAGUGAAACCCUGUCUUAA